CCCGGGCGAACGGCAGCGAGUGUUCUGACAGGCUACUAUGGAAAAAAAUAAAGGAAAUUAGGAAAUUUUUAAAAUCAGUUUUCUCUUUGACCACAGUGAUCCUGUUGUGACUUGUCUCUAAAUACUGGAGUGCUUUGCCAUUUCUUUCUCCAGCU